rnacentral:hammerhead_ribozyme from 1 species
GUACUGAUGAAGAGUCUCAACUGGGACGAAACAGCUGUCCAGUAC